rnacentral:rRNA from 1 species
UACGGAGGGUGCAAGCGUUAUCCGGAAUCAUUGGGUUUAAAGGGUCCGCAGGCGGACAUAUAAGUCAGUGGUGAAAGCCCGUUGCUUAACAACGGAACUGCCAUUGAUACUGUAUGUCUUGAAUGGGGUCGAAGUGGGCGGAAUAUGUCAUGUAGCGGUGAAAUGCUUAGAUAUGACAUAGAACACCGAUAGCGAAGGCAGCUCACUAGGCCUUUAUUGACGCUCAUGGACGAAAGCGUGGGGAGCAAACAGG